CUGGUCUUUACCAAGCACUCAGGAUAGCCAAGCUGCACUGGGAUUCACAGGCACAGCUUCUACAAAGCAGAUUCUUAGUAAAUGGUUCCUGUGCUGAGAAGACAUGCAAAUCUAACAGACCCAAUUUAGUGGUGGUGCUGCUUCUUUCUGGAGGAGCAAAGGCAAAGCAGGAAGACGCUUGUCCCCAAAGUGCAGC
rnacentral:lncRNA from 1 species